GAUGAACGCUGGCGGUAUGCUUAACACAUGCAAGUCGAACGGACUCUUCGGAGUUAGUGGCGGACGGGUGAGUAACGCGUGAGAAUCUGGCUUUGGGUUCGGGACACCCACUGGACACGGUGGCUAAUACCGGAUGUGCCGAGAGGUAAAAGAGAAAUUGCCUGAAGAUGAGCUCGCGUCUGAUUAGCUAGUUGGUGAGGUAAAGGCUCACCAAGGCAGCGAUCAGUAGCUGGUCUGAGAGGAUGACCGGCCACACUGGGACUGAGACACGGCCCAGACUCCUACGGGAGGCAGCAGUGGGGAAUUUUCCGCAAUGGGCGAAAGACUGACGGAGCAAUACCGCGUGAGGGAAGAAGGCUCUUGGGUUGUAAACCUCUGUUCUUAGGGAAGAACAAAAUGACGGUACCUAAGGAAUCAGCAUCGGCUAACUCCGUG
rnacentral:rRNA from 1 species